rnacentral:tRNA from 1 species
GUAGCGCAAUGGAUAGCGCGUUGGACAUCUAAUCCAAAGGUCGUGGGAUCGAACCCCACCCG